AGCUUUCUUGAAUCCGUGCAGAGAUUUCGUCAGACACCAACCCAUUAGGGCGGACUUGACUUCCAAGUUAAGUGAAGUU
rnacentral:pre_miRNA from 1 species